UGAGUGAACCGGGCAGCCGCGGGCGUGCAAUACCGCCUGAGGAAAGUCCGGGCUUCACAGAGCAGGGCAACGGCUAACCGCCGCCGAGGGCGACCUUAGGAAAAGGGCAACAGAAAUAGACCGCCGGCUUGCCGGUAAGGAUGGAAAGGUGCGGUAAGAGCGCACCCGUUGUGUGCGAGAGUACACUCUGCUGUAAACUCUGCCCGAAGCAACACCGACCGGGGACGCGAGCAAUCGCGGCGCUUGCUCGGCGCAACCCAUCUCCGACGGGUGGCAUGGAGCGAGAGCUCCUGAGCGUACCAGCAAUGGUGCGCACAGACAGAUGACUGCCUUUAACGACAGAACCCGGCUUACAGGUUCACUCACUUG
rnacentral:RNase_P_RNA from 1 species